ensembl:lncRNA
AUGAGUCAACGCCUGAUCAUAUUAUCUUGCCUCCUAGCAGUUCUGGGUGGUGUGGAGUCUGACAUCAUCACUGUAAGAGAGGGACAAGAUGCCAAAAUCACUUGUUCUCAUACACUUGCAGAUGGCAACAUCAAAUACUUCUGCAAAGACCCGUGUUAUACAAGGACAGAUACCCUUGUCAAAUCUGAUGAUCAGUCUCCUCCAAAAAGAUUCUCUCUGGUUGAUCGUGGAAAUGGAGAGUUCACCGUCACCAUCUUUAAAGUGAGAUUGACAGACUCUGGGAAAUACUACUGUGGAGUGGAACGCUCCAUACUCAACACAUUCAAAGCAAUCACUUUACAGGUGAUCACUGCAGUCCCAUCCACUACACCAGGUGUAUCUUCUCACAGACCUUCCAAAACAACAGUUAGGGAUGUGACAACCAAAUCCACACGGCCUGAACACACGUCUCUCAGACCUCCUGAGCACAGAGAGGAAGAUGGAGCAGGUGGUGUUGUAUACAUAUGUGCCGGGCUCGCUGCGGUGGUGUUUCUGUUAGUGCUCAGUCUGUUCAUGCUCUACACACAGAGGACCAGAGGCAGGAAGUCAUUGGAUCCCCCUGCUGGACACAGACCUAACACUGACUCAGGAAAUACUCAACAGGGUCAGUGUGAUUACUCUGACAUCACUUUCAAUCCUCACGUCUCCACCUCCAGCCCCGCCCCACCCAGCACAGACCCCUCCACCAUCUACGCCAACGUUCAACUGCCGUCCAAUCAGAAUCCAGACUCUCUCCAGUACGCCACCGUGAGAUUCACUGAUCCGCCAGCAGGGGGAGACAAAGGACAAAGCCCCCCGGGGAUAGGGAGAGAGAGAUCAGUCUUAUACUCCAGCAUCAACCUCUAGAGAGAAAGCCCACUUCAUUUAUAGUGCAAGGGCAUACACAUACAAGGGCUUGAAUUUAGGUUUAAGGAGGAAAAGACAAAGAAAGUUAGGGGCUGAGCCUCAGGGAGUCUAAAAGAAGGUUUGAUUUUUUAUUUUAUAUUUUGUUUUCUGUUUCUUACAUCUGCCCAUACGCUUCUGUCAUUAUAUAUAUAUAAUUAAUAUAAUAUUUAAUUAUAUUAUUAUUACAUUAUUACAUUUUAUUAUUAUUUCACUGUUAAGUCCACAUUACAGUCAUUUUCUGUUCGUAUUGCACUGUUCCUGUAGCUCAGUUUGUUACCAGUUAAUUACUUAUUAAUGUAUUAAUUUAUAUCUGCCCAAUGUAUCUAUUUAAAAACAUCCUCUGAGAAUGUAUCUGUUAUCCCUGUAGCAUGCCAUUUAACUAUUGUGUAUUUACUCAUCUUGCUGUGGGUAGUUUACAGUGAUUUCAAAUCAGAAUCAGAAUCAGAAUUGUAUUGCCAAUGAAUGAAUGUCAUGUAAUUGCAAUGGAAGGAUGAAGCAAGACCAAUCCACUCCUACACAUUUCAGUAGUUCUCAUCCUGUCAUGUGAUUCUUCUUGAAGCUUUUUGGCUCAUGAAAGAGAGCUGGUGUUGUAGCCGUUUCGCACAUUUUUGUCCAGAUAUAAGUUUGCAUUGGCCCUGGGUUACUUUGACUGUGUUAUAUGAUUAUAUUGUUUCUGUGUUUGCAUAUUGUUUCUUUAGCUGCAUAUUGGACUACCAUUUAAUUGAACUUUAGGAUUGUUAAUUUGUCACCUGAACCGCCCAUUAAUUAUUGUCACCUGGACGGCUCAUCAGUAGAUUUCACCUGGACGGAUUAUUAGAAGUGUCACCUGGAUAGCUCAUUAGGAGAUGACUGGAUAGCAAAAUGUUGGGUCUAGAGGCGUGUAAAAGAUACAGUUUUUUGACCACUUUUCGAUACUAGUUUAGCCUUUUUAGUUUACUGUAGUUAACUUUGCUUUAUUGUUUGAAUUUACUACUCGUUUAUGUUCACCUUUUUGGAGCCAAAAUAAAUGGAUUAUUCUUUCAACUUUUGGAGUAUCG